rfam:Operophtera brumata OBRT01_Sc20137, whole genome shotgun sequence.
UGUUCUAUGGCCGAACUGGUAAAGGCAUUGCCGAUCCUAGGCAAGGUUGCGGGUUCGAGUCCCGCUGGAACGG